UACAGAGGGGGCUAGCGUUGUUCGGAAUUACUGGGCGUAAAGGGCGCGUAGGCGGCCCGCUAAGUCGAACGUGAAAUCCCCGGGCUCAACCCGGGAACUGCGUCCGAUACUGGCAGGCUUGAAUCCGGGAGAGGGAUGUGGAAUUCCAGGUGUAGCGGUGAAAUGCGUAGAUAUCUGGAGGAACACCGGUGGCGAAGGCGGAUCUCUGGGCCUUACCUGACGCUGAGGCGCGAAAGCUAGGGGAGCGAACAGG
rnacentral:rRNA from 1 species